rnacentral:lncRNA from 1 species
CCCGUUUCUCCAUUCACUGAUCAAAAUUAGAUAACUGAGAUUUUAGGAAAGAGUAAUCCUCCCAGGUAGCUUCUUCCGUUGAUAAAUUUGCCCACUGUACUAGUACUUGUGUAAUUGCUUUGUUUCCUCGUUUGACCAUCCUUCUCUUCAAAAUUGUGACUGGUUCUGCUAAAAUCUGGCCAUCAUCGAAGCAAAAUGGAGGAUCUUUUGAUGGUACCACUUUGUCUCCGAUCUUCUUCUUCAAUUGAGAGACGUGGAAGACAUGGUGAAUUUUUUAUGUUACUGGCAAUUUAAGUCAUAUGCGACAGGACCCAGUUUUCAAAUCACCUCGUAUGGUCUGAAGAACUUGGCAGACAGCUUUAUAUUCUUUCUCAUUGCCACUGAUAUCUGCCGAUAUGGUUGUAAUUUUAGGUAAACAGUAUCUCCAAUUUCAAAUGUCCUUUUACUCUUCUUAGAAUCUGCAUAUUGCUUUAUCUUGUUUUGUGCCUUGAGUAGAUUAUCUUUGAGAAUCUUGUUGGUGAUUUGUAUUUGUUUUAGCAGCUGAUCUACAGAUUCUAAUUUGGAUUGCACCACUAGCUCGAAUGAGGGUAAUGGAGGAUCAUAACCAUAUAGGGCUUUGAAGGGUGUCAUCCCUAUGGCUAGGGGUGGGCAUAAAAUACCAAAAAUCGAAUUACCGAACCGAAUUGAAAAAUUUGGUAAUUGGUAUUCGGUAAUUUGGUAUUUGGGAGUAAAAUUUUAAAAUUACAGUAUUUGGGUUCGGGAUUGGUAAAAAAUAUUACUACCGUUUGGUAUUUAGUAUUUUUCGAAAUUCUAAUUAUAGUUAAGUGACCCAUAGGCCACAUACCUAGUGCACACUCCAAAGGUCACAUACUUGUGUGAAUAUUGCUUAAGCAAACUUUGAACUGUUAAACAUAGUCAUAAAGUAGACUCUUAACUUUACACAACAGACUUUCUUGCAACCAACAUAUGACAACUUUUGAAGAAAAUAUCAUGCUAAGACUGAAAAUCGGGGCGUGAAAGGGAACAACAAAAAAGAAGUCUUCAUGAUAUAAAGGGAACAACAAAAAAGAAGUCUUCAUGAUAUGAUACAUAACACCAUUGUUGGCUGCACUUUCCCAACUCUAGUGUUCCUAACGUAGGUCGGAAUAUGGAUUUAACCAAGGGUACUUAGUCAAGCUUACUUAAUUCUUCUGUUCAUAUGUCAACAGCGGAUAGAAGCAAAACUAAGCAUUUGGCAGACAACAUAACAUAUAUUACUCUCCAUAACAUUUAUAAAAAGUAAUAUUAUGACUUUACAUCACAUUUAGAUCCAGUUCGUGUUGCAUCCAGUUUGAUGUAAAUGUUAUUCAUGUUACAUCCAGUUCUUCCCUUCUUGGAGAUGGAUCAAACUACAAUAACAUAGGUUUUAAGAUGUUUCAUUAAUUGAGUCACACGUAUCAACGUGUAACAAGACCCAAUAGAAUUGAUUUUUUCUGGUGUAAAACUAUGUAUUUAGAGGUGUCAAACUACCAAACAAAAUUGAAUUUUUCUGAAAACGUUGGUUGAAAAUCACCACUAUUAUCACCAAAUAGGAUCACUACAAGCAUGUCCAACUUUAAUAUGGUAAUACCGAAUUUCGUACCGAACCAAAGUUUAAUUUUACCGAUUACCGAAUUAUUGAACCGAAGUUUAAUGGUAUGGUAUUUGGUAUCUACUUUUAAUUACCGAUUAUCGAAUUACCGAACCCGAAUUAUGAAAAUACCGAACCGAAUACCGAAUGCCCACCCCUACCUAUGGCUAAUUGGAAAUUGGUGUUGUAAUAAUAUUCCACCAUUGAAAUCCAAUUGCUCCAUAUUUUGGGAUUAUGUCCUGUCAUACAAAGCUGGUAAGAUUCGAUAUCUUGGUUCGACCUCCCUGUCAGAUUGCAGGUGGUAUGCUGAUGUUAAUCGUUGAUCCACUUACAUACCUUUGAAGAUUUUUUUCCAAAAUUGUAAUGCUUCGGGAGCACACCCUGGACGCCACACGGUGCUUAUGGUCACAAGUGACCACAAGCUAACAGAUGAGCUGGUACCUGCUGUGAGUAUUGAAUAAUAAUAACAAAAUAACAUGUGUGGAAUAACUGAAUAUGCCAUAAGGUUUUAAAUACUAAAACAUUUCUGAAUCAUAAGUCUGAAAACAACUAUCGAAAAACAACCGUCUGAAAACUGAUAGAGGUAAUGACAAAGUGUCCAAAAGCCUUUAAAACUGACUGAAUAAGAGUUGAUGGGACAGGCCCUAACUAACUCCAACUGACUACUGAACUGAAAACACAGAAAUAAACAUAAUUGGUCCUCGAAAUAUGAGGAAUCACCAUUACUGCUUCUGCUGAUGCGCUGGGAUGUCUAAGUGCGGUUGGUAACCUGAGCAUCUGAACAUAUGAUAUGUGAUAUCAUAGCGCAAGAAACGAGUAUGCGGUCAGUACUUUAAAUGUACUGGUAUGCUAGAUGGGGUUAGGCUGAUAUGCAUGGGCUCAUGUGCAUGAAUAAUAACUGACUGAAUGAAUAACAUGAAAUAACUGAUGCAUAGUACGCGUGAAAGUUGUAAAAUCUGAGAAUGCAUGAUCAAGUAUAUAACAUGAUACUGAAGUAGUCUGUAAACUGAAAUAUUGAAAUCUGGUAACUGAAUACUGAUAAACUGUAUGUUAUGGUCAAAUAAACUGAACUGAAUUCUAUACUGAGUACUCAAAUUGAAACUGUGGGAGGUAUCAUCGAACCGACAUGCCCCAAAUCUGAGUUGAUAGGGGUCCAACCUGUGACCCUAGUUGGAAGGAUGCUAGUACUGUGCCACGGAUACUGACAAUGGCUAUAUCAAUCCUAAACUAGCAGGAAGACAUCUUGUCAACCCUAAACUAACAGGAAGACUCAUGAGAUAUGUGUCAACCCUAAACUAGCAGGAAGACAUCUCAAACCUACGUUGGCUACGUAAUUUUGUAACUCAGGGAUUGCUACUAAGGGUCAAACCCUAUACUAACAGGAAUACCCCUAUCACUGGGUUCGCUCGGUGCUGAAUACUACUCCCAACUGAACUGAUAGUGAUUACGGGAUUGAACUAAGUUUAACUGUAGAAGGAACUGACUCAGAUUAUCGAACUGAUCUAAGUUUGACUGUCAUGAUAACUGACUGAACUAAUAAUGUUCAUACGUGUCUGAAAAUAUUGAGACUUAAGUAAACAACUAAAUUUCAGGUAUUCAUAACCCCAGAACUCGAUAGCAAUAACAACAGGAUCAUACUAAAGCUUCAGAAACAUAAUAAGUAAUCAUUGUUCACAACCCAAUCUUUUAGGCAUUUCAUCAAACACAUAUGGGUCAUGAGUUAAAACAUAAGAAUAGUUAAGUCAUGUAAUAAUAACAUAAUUACAACACAAAAAUCAUGGGUUAAGGAUUUAACAUGUGAAUAUCAUCCUUCAAACGUGUCAAGGGCUAAUUCCAACGAAAACAAUUUGUAAACAAUAUAUAGAAAUUGAAAUUCAUGGAACUUCAUGGAUAUAAUUCAUAAUAACAUGUAAAGAUCAUAAUUUUAAACUUGAAAAAAAAUUCUUGGACUCCAUGGGUGAAAAAAACCCAUGAAUGAACAUCACACAUACCUUAAUUUAAGAAUUCGUGAAGGUUCUUGGUGGUUUUCUUGAAGCUUUUGCUUGAAUCUUGGAGAGGCUAAGAUUUGUUCAUGAGAGAGAAUGGUUUCUUUUGAGAGGAUUUUGUGAAUAAAGGGGCCAAUUUUUCCUUUUAAGACCCUUAAUCCCGUGUUAUGGACCCGUUGGGUGAAGGGAAAAGACCCAUUUGUCUUUGCAUAAAUGAGAACAAAAGAUGGAAAAAUUGAGGGGCGAGCUAUGGAGCGGGUACCGCGGGCUCUGGUGCGGUGCACUGGAGCGUGCACCGCGGGCUCCAUUGCGGUGCACUACAGGGCGUGUCAUGCGCUAAUCGCGCGUCCUGACUGCCUCUCUCACUAAAAUGGCUAUAAUUUUUCGCUCGGGUAUCAGAUUAAGGCGAAAUUGGUAUCGUUGGAAAGCUGACUCAAUUAUCUACAAUUUGGUGGGUUUUGAGCUACAAAAUUCUACGUAUAUCAAUAGUUAUACACGUUCAAAGUAGACUCUUGUAGAUUCGAAUACCAAACUUUGGGCGAAUCAAAGGCUCUUAUGUCAACUUUGUUCUAAUGGAUUCUUAUGAACAUUUUUCACCUCAAGAUCACUUCACACACUAGGAUAAAGAUCAUGACAAGUGUAUUCAAAAGAAAUUCAUGAGAUUAGAGUUAACACGUAAGAACAACGCUUCAAAGUCUAGACCAAAAAUACGGGAUGUUACAAAAAUAAGCUCGUGAAUAUAGGAUCUCUAUCGGAUAGAAUUGAAGUGGAACUCCAUAAAGUGUACAGAUGUGAUCUAAGAAUAAUUGAGCUAUCUGGGAAGCAUUAUAAGGAUAAGACGAAGUGAACAAAUGUCCAUAUUUGUUAUACCUGUCCAUGACCACUAGUAUGGUAUUUUUUCCAUGUGAUUUCGGCAGCCCUUUAAUAAAAUCCAUAGAAAGAUGCUCCCAAGCUAUGGAUGGAAUAAGUAGUGGUUGCAAAAGUCCUAGGUAAGGAACAUGUUCAGCUUUGUUCCGUUGACAAAUCUUACAACUUUUGACUCUCUCUUAGACAUCAUUCAACAAGCCAGGCCAAUAGAAUAAGGCUCUCAGCCUUUGUUGAGUCCUAAGUAUACCUGAAUGCCCCCUCCAUGGUUUAGAAUGCAUUUAUUCAGUUAGUUGCUCUCUCAGGUGACCAUGAGAUCGUAUAAAUAGCUUUCCAUCAAUUCUGAGCAGUCCAUGUUGAAUAGUAGUGUUAGGAAGUGCAUUGGCAUCAACAAGCAAUUGCGCUAGAAUUUGUUGGGCUUCUUGAUCUUCUUAAUAACUUUCAAUGAUAUAAGUAAUCCACUUAGGUUGCACAACUAUCAAUCCAUUACAUUCCUCUAUGUCAUUAACCCUUCUUGACAAUGCAUCUGCCACAACAUUCUCUACCCCCUUCCUAUACUGUAUCUGAUAACUUAGUGCCAUAAGUUUAGAAAUACCUUUGUGUUGAAUGGCUGUUGUGAUUCUUUGAUCUCUCAAGAACUUGAGACUAAAGUGGUCAGUGCGAAUGAUAAAAUGGCUAGGCUGCAAAUAGUGUCUCCAUUUUUCCACGACCAAUAACAAAGCUAUUAAUUCCUUCGCUUAAGUUGAGAGUCCUAGAUGUUUAGGACUCAAAGCUUGACUGAGGAAAGCAAUAGGUUUGUUUUGCUGCAUUAAAAUUUCUCCCACUCCAGUGCCACUAGCAUCCACUUCUACCACAAAUGGAAUAGAUAAAUUCGGCAGGGCUAACACCGAGGGCCUGAUCAUGGUAUUUUUUAAGUCAUCAAAUGCAGCCGUCGCUCGAGGAUUCCAAUUAAACCCACCUCUUUUAAGGAGUUCAGUUAAUGGUUUGCUCAGGAUAGCAAACUUAUUAAUGAACCUCCUAUAGUAUCAUGUGAGCCCCAUAAACCCACACAUUUCCUUGAUUGUCCUUGAAUAAGGACAACUAACCAUUGCUUCCACUUUAGAUGGAUCAGUACUCACACCAUGCCCAGAAAUAAUCUGCCCUGCAUAUUCAACUUGUGCUCCAGCAAAGCUGCACUUGGACAACUUAGCAUAUAGUUGAUUUGCCUUUAGGACCUUAAAAACUUAUUCUAAAUGUUGUACAUGAUCAUGUAAACUGAAACUAUAAAUAAGAAUGUCAUAAAAAAAACAAGGACAAACUUCCUGAUAAAUGACCCAAAGACUUCCUUGCAUUAAAGCUCGAAAGGUAGCAGGGGAAUUCGUGACUCCAAAUGGCAUUACCUUGAAUUUCCAAAGCACGUGGUGAGUCCAAAAUGCUAUUUUGAAUUCAUCAUCUGAUCUCAUCUUAAUUUGAUGAUACCCCGGCCUUAAAUCCAAUUUAGAGAAGAAUUUUGCACCGUGAAACUCAUCUAAGAGGCCUUCUACCACAGGAAUGGGUUAUUUAUUUUUGACUAUGAGAUCAUUUAGUUUCCUAUAAUUGACACAGAAUUGCCAUGUUGAGUCCUUACUUUUUGCCAAUAUCACUGGGAAAGCAUUAGAGGAUGUACUGGGGGUAAUUAUUUGCACCUCCAACAUAUCCCAUUGCCAAUAUCACUGGGAAAGCAUGAGGUCUCACCACUAGGAGCCUACAAUGAAGGUCUUCAAAUUUCUUUUGAUAGCUAUUAACGUCGGUCGUUUCUUGCAGUCGAUUAAAAAUGGUUACUAAAUCCAAUGGUCCCAUUUCAUCGUAACAUUCACAAACGUCACUACAAAACUGGCUCAAAGAAAUUUGACCCUCGUGGUCAAUUACAUAAGAAUCAAACCAACUAUCAAAUUUAUCUUUAACACUAACAUCCACAAACAUCAUUUUCUCAGAAUCCGGCACUUGAUAAUAAUCAAAAUAAUAUUCACAUCGCCUUACCCAACCACUAACAUUUUUGUCAUCAAAUUCAAGAAACUCCAAUUCGUCUUUUAGGAAUCUUAAGUUAGGAAAAGUGGUAUCCUAAUUAGAAAAUAUUGUGGGAAGUGUAUUAUAGGAGAGAAGUGGCGCGGGGUGUUGUAAAUUGGGCUUGAGCAGUAUAUGGAGGUAUAUAUGGGCAUGGUAAUGAGAAAUUUGGGUUGUAGUGGUCAUCUGGGCUGGUGGUAUACUGAAAUUGGGUGUGUAGAUGAAGAAUGGAGCUGAAAAUUGGUAGUUAGGCAUUUGAGUUAUGACGGGUGUAUGAUUUUUGGUGAUAGGCAGAGGAACAUAUUGGCCAAACGUCAAGGGGUUAAUCGAUUAUUGGAACCAAACAUAGAUGAAGACCCACUAGGUAUUUGUGUGCUCGUAAAGGGUCGAGAAACACAAAGAGAAACAGGUAUAGUAGAUCUCAUAGCAGUGGUGAAGGAAUGAGUGAAGCUCAUUGGGGAGAAAAACGGAACUUUGCUUUGAGUAGGAAAGGUUCCAUGGUGCAAAUUGAUGGGGUUUAGGGUGGCUAACGCCAUACUACAACAUAUGUUUGACAUCCCCGGUGUGACAACAGUGGGAGUUGAGUAAACUGGAUCUAUCGGAGUUGAUGGAGAUGGACGAGUAACUCCAUUUACUUAUGACUGAGUAGUUUCACAGUGUAAGCCACCUUGCAAAACCCCCAAAUGUGAACGACUUUCCACAUUAGAAUCAUCUUUCCUGCGUAAGUCCAUCACUAGAGCUUCCAUUCGUUGGCUGUUUUCUACAUUUUUUCAAUGCAUUUCUUCCAUCUGUUCCAUGCGUUUCGUUGAUAUUUCCAUGAAAGUUUGCAAUUGUAAACUCAGAUUUGCAGAACCAUCACCUUCACCCUCACCCGAGUCUAAUGAAGGAGGUGGCGCCACUAUGGUCACCAAGAACCUGGCUUUGGGAUACCAAAUGUAGCACUAAAACUUUUAAGAAAAACAGAAGAUAAGAAGAAGAAAUGAUUUCAAUUUUAAAUAACCAAGUGAUUACACCAUGAACGGAAUAUAAGGGGUAAUUGCUAGCUGUAUAACAAACUGUAAUACUUAGGACACGUGGCAUCAUGCCAUUUAGGGAAUGAAAGACAAAUAUUAAAAAUCCUGAAAGUAAUACUUAAGGCUACAUAGGCUAAGGAUGGAUAACAAUAUGGGUCAGAUAUGCAACAGACCCCACUCAAUGUCACAUUUACAAUGGUAACAAAUAAAAACUCAUAAUUGAAUGACCAUGUGACUUAUGAACUCCAUUUUUCACAUAGAUGUAGAUGUAGAUGUAGAUGUAGAUGUAGAUGUAGAUGUAGAUGUAGAUGUAGAUGUAGAUGUAGAUGUAGAUGUAGAUGUAGAUGUAGAUGUAGAUGUAGAUGUAGAUGUAGAUGUAGAUGUAGAUGUAGAUGUAGAUGUAGAUGUAGAUGUAGAUGUAGAUAAUGUUGUGAUGUUAUUGUGGGCGAUGUAAUUUUAUUAAAUUUAAAUCCGUAUAAAAUUUGGAUUAUAUUAAAUUCAAAAUAUAUUAGUCCCAAAUAAAUAUUACGGAUUAAUAUAAUUAAAUUAAUUAUUUAAGUCCAAAUAAGUAUGGAUUUAAAUAAGGCUCAAUAUUUAUUGGGUUAGUCCAUUAAUUUGGGCUAUAAAUAAUGAGCCUACUUUACUAAGCCCAAGAUAUUGUCAUAUUCUAGAGGCCCAAAUAAGCGCAACGUGUCAAAUGACGUGGCAUGCCAAGUCAAGUGAAGGAGCCAAUAAGACUGUGCCACAUGUCAAACUGAUGCAGCAAACCCAUGAAAUAAAAGCCCAUAAAAGGCGCCACAUCACUUAAAUCUGAUUGGUCAAAGGAAGUCCAUAUUCAUCAUGGCUCUUCCUUUCCUACAAUUAUAAAUAGGGGCUCAUAAUUCAGAAAGAGGACCCCCCUCAUCUCUAACAAGUAGCAAGAGAAAGUUCGUGGAUCAAACGUCGCAAUUUCUCUAAAAAGAUCAAGCAUUCAAAUCAAGUUCAUCAAGAUUCAAGAUCAAGACCGCAAUAUUCAAGAACAAGCUCAAAAGCCCUUGAAUUCAAGCACAAGUCAAGAUCAAGUCCCUCAAGUCCACAAAUCAAGUUCAAAUUUAAGAUCAAACUUUAAGCCCUUGAAUUUAUAUUUGAAAAGACGAAUCAGAGAAUUCAUAGAGAUUGUAACACUCGCAUUGAAAUCAAUAAAAUCGAUUGUUACAAUAUUUUUUUUUAUCUCGAUUAUUUAUUUUUCGGCCUUGAAAUUUUAUUGUCUAACAAAUUCUGGCACACCCAGUGGGACGAUCUCUACCUCUCAUCUCAACUUUUCAUACUUCAAAGUUUAAGAACAAUGAAAUGACUUCCAAGAAGGUCAAUUCUCAAUCAACUGCUUCCAAGAUUGCAGAUUCAAAGUUCUCUGCUGAAGUAGAAAACAUCCUUGGUGGUACUUUCGGAACCUUGGGAGCUGUCACAAGAAACAAGAUAGGCUUGCUAGGACAACAAACAUAUCCAGUGUCGUCCGCUCCAGCUCCAGUAUCCCACAAAUUCACGGGAUAAUCACAAAGGCAUCUUCAAUAUCCCACAAAUUCACGAGAUAUUCACAAAGAGAUAAACUAUCUUCAAAGUCCCAAUAAAUUCAUGGGAUAUUUAUAGAUCAAAACCCUUUCUUCUUGAUAAUCGAAUACAUCAAGAGACAAUCGAAUACAUCAAGAAUAUCCUUUCAUGGAGAUCAAAUCCAAAUAGAAAUACGCCACUAAUGGUCCUUGAAUUACGGAGAAAUUCAUAUCAAAUUCUAUGUUCGAGAAUAAGCCAAUAACGACCCUCGAAUUACGGAGAAAAUCAAGAGAGAAGAAUCAAGGGAGGAACAGAUUUGUACCCCCAUCGUUUAUCAAUAAAACUGUUGUUUCUUCAUAUUUUUAUUUGUGGUUGAAGUUUAUUUUUCAUGCAUAAAAAUUUUGUUGGAAACAAAUUGGCACCCCCAGUGGGACCAAAUCUGCCCUUCAUCUCUUUUUUCAUAAAUCAAAUAUGUAAAUCUAUAGCCGCAAGAUCGUAAAGAUGGAAGCGGUACUUCAAGACUCGUCUUUGAGUUUCAUCAAGUCUACACUUCGACAAGCCUUGAAGCAGGGGGCAUUUGUAGACAUUGAAAUUUUGUGGACUCUACAAAAAGAGUUCAAAUUUGGUUAGAGUUCUUGGCGGCUACUUUACCCUAAAUCUAGCUUGAUGACUACUCAAUCUAAACCCUAAAUUAUGCCUAUAUAAAGGGGGCAAAUAUCCUUUAAAGAUGCAUCUCUAGUAUCUCACAAAUUCACGGAUAUUCACAAAGGCAUCUCCAGUAUCCCAUAAAUUCACGGGAUAUUCAUAAAGAGAUCAACGAUCCUCAAAGUCCCAAUAAAUUCAUGGGAUAUUUAUAGAUCAAAACCCUUUUUUCUUGAUAAUCAAAUACAUCAAGAAGAUCCACAAAACCUCUUUUCAUAGAGAGCAAAUCCAAAUACUCUUACGUUCGAGAAAUACGCCACUAACAGCCCUCGAAUUACGAAGAAAUUCAUAUCAAAUUCUAUGUUUGAGAAUAAGCCACUAACGACCCUCGAAUUACGGAGAAAAUCAAGAGAGAAGAAUUAAGGGAGAAACAGAUUUGUACCCUCAUCGUUUAUCAAUAAAACUGUUGUUUCUUCAUAUUUUUGUUUGUGGUUAAAAUUUACUUUUCAUGAAUUUAAAUUAUGUUGCAAACAAAUUGGCAUGCCCAGUGGGACGAUCUCUACCUCUCAUCUCAAUUUUUCAUACUUCAAAGUUUAAGAACAAUGAAAUGACUUCCAAGAAGGUCAAUUUUCAAUCAAUUGCUUCCAAGGCUGCAGAUUCAAAGUUCUCUACUGAAGUAGAAAGCUUCCUUGGUGUUACUUUUGGAGCCAUGAGAGCUGUCAUAAGAAGCAAGGCAGGCUUGCUAGGACAACAAACAUAUCCAGUAUCAUCUACUCCAGCUCCAGUUUUUGGAUCUUCAACCUCAAAAGGAACGAAGUCCAAUGCAAGUGCUUCAGAAGGAGGAAGCAGUAUGGCCGAAUCGCUGAAAAUGACACUAACUCUACUUGAGUGUUCCGGUUCCAAAUACUCUGGAGUCAAGAGCGAUGGUUGUUCAACAAAUGCGUCAUCUUCUCUUACACCACAUAAGCUAAGCCCUUUAAAGAUCAACUUAUGUGAUAAUCUGUGUUACUCUUCGACGUCUCCGGUGAUCAUGCAAGCAAUGGUAACUGAUGCCUCUUCUAUGGAGGAGCAGCUUGCGAAUCUGACAAAGGCAAUCGAAGGCCUGACCAACUAUGUUCAGAAUCAAGAGGCUAGGAUUGAUAAGAUAGUGGAUAGGAUGGAAGGCUUGAUAGACAGAGAAUCAGCCAUGCAUGGGGAAAAGCUCCAGAGGUUCAUGAGAUAGAAAAUCCUGUGAAACAAACACCAUCGACUAAAGAGGUGCAGGUUUCUGCUGAGGGAAUAAUCCCAAUUGGGCAAUUGAGGGAAUUUAUUGAAGGGACCCUCAAAGACAAGUAUGAUGUUGUCACCAAGUCUUCCCUUGCAUAUGCCAAGCCUUACACUGCAAGAAUAGAUAGCCUCAAAAUGUCUGCUGGGUAUCAACCCCCCAAAUUUCAACAAUUUGAGGGCAAAGGUAACCCAAAACAACAUGUCGCACACUUUGUCGAGACAUGUAAUAAUGCUGGAACUUACGGUGACUAUCUUGACAAAUAGUUUGUUCGUUCCCUAAAGGGAAACGCCUUUGAUUGGUAUACAGACCUCGAGCCUAACUCCAUCGACAGUUGGGAGCAAUUGGAACACGAGUUCCUAAAUCGGUUUUAUAGCACAAGGCGUACAGUGAGCAUGAUGCUCAGAAAUACUCGGCAAAGAAAGAAUGAGUCAUUCAUUGACUUCAUCAAUCGACGGAGAAAUGAGAAUCUAAACUGCAAAGAUAGGCUCAGUGAAGCUUCUGCAUUAGAGAUAUACGUCCCAGGAAUGCACUGGGGGCUUCUCUACAUCUUGCAAGAAAUUAAACCAAAAUUCUUUGAAGAGUUAGCUACUCGUGCUCACGACAUGGAGUUGAGUAUGUCUUCUGCUGGAAAGGAAGGAGUACCUAUUCAUGACCUUCGAAGGGGAAAGGAAAAGCAGGAACCCAAAAGAUGUGGCAAGUUUCUUCCCAAAAAUGAAAACAAGGAGUCCAUGAAUGUUGAUUUAUCUCCUGUGAAGGUCACCCACAAAGGUAAACAAGAAGCAAAGUUUGAAGAUGACUUCUGGAGCACGUCCGAAUCAGAAAACUUUAAAGGAGAUGCAAGAAAAAGAAUAUCCCUUCCUUGAUUCUGAUGUUGCUAAGAUUUUUUAUGAACUCCUUCAGUAUAAGCUCAUCGAACUCCCAGAGAUGAAGUGUCCCAACGAAGCUGGAAGGAUCAAUGAUCCUAAUUAUUACAAAUAUCUAGGCUCAUAAGUCACCUUCUGGAGAAAUGCUUUGUCUUUAAAGAUAAAGUCAUGCAACUGGCAAAAGAAAAGAAAAUCUUCUUCGAUGAUAAGACAACCACUUCUCAUCAAAUAUCUAUCACUUUUGGCUUGCUCGACCCGAUUCAGAUUUGUGUCAAAGAGCAUAAUAAGAAGAUAUUAGAGCCUGACAGGUCUUCAGUUGAUGAGGACGAUGAUGAAGGUUGGACUUUGGUGACCAGACGCAACGCAGACACAGACGUAGACACAAGAUGAUGAGUCUGCAAAAGGAGACGUGCGAGCAGCUAACUAGAAGGAGAAUGGUAAAGAAACUAAGGAAAUAGAAGUUGGCUGGAUUCCCAAAGAAGACGAGGGUGAUGGAGCUUCACCAUAAAAAACCUUGGCGCCCGGUGACUUUAGAGGAAUUCUUAUCGAGUUGGUUUCGUGUAAAGAUUGCCUAAGUCAACCUUGAGGCGUCUUGUUUUAAUACCGCCAAAGAGGGGGCAAAGGGUGAGAAUCUACCCAUGAAGGUUCCUUCACCUUCUGAAAAGCUUGCUGAAACUCUUGGCGAAGAGACACAUGUGUGAUACAAAAAUCACAUUCACAAAUAACGAUCUUCUGCUUGGUGAGACCCUACAUAACCAUCCCUUAUACAUGGUGGGUCAAAUUCUAGGAAAGAAGAUCAAUAGAAUUUUGAUAGAUGAGGGAUUUGGAGUCAAUAUCCUGCCUAUCAGUACGAUGAAGGAGCUUGGCAUUGCUACUAGCGAACUGGAAGAAAGUCGUAUAAUGAUCCAAGGCUUCAACCAAGGGGGCUAGAGGGCCAUGAAAUGUAUUAAGUUGGGAAUUCGUAUGGAUGAUUUUCAAUCAAACCCAUUGAUGCAUGUGAUUGAUGCCAAAACUUCAUAUAAUAUAUUGCUUGGUAGGCCUUGGGUGCAUGGGAACAAAAGUAUCUCGUCCUUUUACUAUCAAUGCUUGAAGUACCUUGAAGGCGGAGUGGAAAGAAAGAUAGUUGCCGAUGACAAGCCAUUCACUGAAGCUGAGUCACAUUUUGCCGAUGCAAAAGUCUACUUAAAGAAGCAUGUUGUGGAUGAGAAAAGGGUUGAAGAUGUCACCAAGACCAAGUGUGACGAUCUUACAUCUAAGAAGGUCGCGGUGACUGUCGAAAAAGUCGCCACCAAGAAGCCUCUCUCCACUUCAAAUAAAGAAGGUGUCGCUUCUACGAAAAAAGUUAUUUAAAAAAUACAGCAGUAGCAUAUAUGUUUGAAUCUAGAUUGGAUUGAAUUAGUUAUGAGAAGACCAUUUAAAAAUAGAGAAGAUUUUAGAAAAGUUAAAGAAUCUUUAAUUAGUAAUUAUUCAGAAUAUAUAGAUCUAAAUAAAACAAAAGAAAACCCACAAAGAUUAGCCUACCUAAUUACCUUAAUAUCUAGUAUUGAAGCAAAAUUAAUAAUCCAAUUAAAAUCUAGAAGAAUGAGACACAUACCACCUAAUUAUGAUAAAAUUAGAUUUAGAUAUCCAUCAAGAUAUUAUAAAUAUGGUUUAAAUGAAUAAAGUACAAAAAUACAAAGAACUAAAACAAAUUAUUUCUGAAAAACGUAAAGAAUUAAAAAUAAGAAUAGAAAGACUACAUUAUAAUAUAUUUGCCGGAGUUAGUAAAAACUCAAUAAAUACACAAAAAGAUGAAAUAUCAAAAUUAGAAUCACAAAUAGAUAGUUUAGAAUAUAUAUAUUGAAUAAAGAAGAAUUUAUAAUAGAUGAAAAAAUAUAUGAAAACUACGAAGGAUCAAAAAUAAAAAUAGUAUUUUCUAAUCUAGGACGAAGAUAUAAGAAAAUAGGUGAACAUUUAUAUCUAAUGUUAGAAAAAGAAGAAUUAAAAUUAGAAGAUAAAUUAACAGCAAUGGUAAGAAUAGAAAAAGAAAAUGAAGAGAUAGAUAGGAAAAAAGAAAUAGAAAAAAUAAAACAACAAACUACGGAAGAAAUACGAAAAAUAGAAGAAACCAAAAAUAGUAGAAUUGCUGAAUUAGAAAAAGAAUUACAAAUGUUAAAAGAACUGUAUGAACAAAGACAAAAAGAAAAAGAAGAAAAAGAUAGAGAACAGAAAUUACUAAAUGAGAUAAAUCAAUUUAAGGAAAAAUUAGAAAUAAAAAAUGAAGAAUUAGAAAUAAAUAAUAUAGAUAUUGAAGAGACAGAUAAUUAUGAGUCCGAAGAUAGUGAAACAUACACAGAAAUAUUAACAAAUACAAAAAAUUUAGAAAUCAAUGAAGAACAAAAAAUUUAUGAGGAAAACUUAGAAAAUACCCACACAGAAAUAAAUACUCUUGAUAAAAAAGAAAAUGAAAAUAUAAUACCUAAAACAACAGAAAUAAGAAAACCUAUAUAUUAUAAGAAUAAGUUUAAAAAAUAUAAUGAAUAUGAUAAAUGGAUACCAAAACAAAUAGUGAAUAAAAAUUAUAACUUUUUAGAUCUAGACUGUGUAAUAGAUACAGAAAAAACAAUACAAUUAUGGAUAGGAUAUAUGACAAAACAAUUAUUAGAUAAUAAUAUAAAUAUAACAGAUGCACCGGAAUAUAUAGAAAAAACACUAAUAGGAUCAGUAAAACUAUGGUUUGCAAAUCUAACCGAAAAUAGCAAAAAAGUAUUAAGAACUAAUAAACCUAUAGAAGGAACAUCAUCGACAACAACUAAACUAACACCUAUAGAAUUAUUAAAAAAAUAUGAAACAGCUAUAAAAGAUGAAUUUGGUAGUACGACAACAAUCGAAGAAGAACAAAAUGAAGAAAAAGAUACAAAUAGAAAUUUAAUGUUAAAAUUAGCAAUAUGUAAUAUGUGUUAUAUAGAUGAAUAUACUUGCGCAUUUAAAGAAUAUUAUUACAAAGGAGCAUAUAGUAUAGAAGAAAGUAAAGAAAUAAGAAAAUUAUAUUUUAAUAAAUUACCCGAGCCAUUUAGUUCGAAAAUAAUAAAAAGUUGGGAAGAAGCAAAAAUAGUAGAUACGUUAGGAGCAAGAAUAAAAUAUUUACAACAAUGGUAUAGAAACUUAUGUGAAAAAUAUAGAGAAGAAUUAAAAAUGGAAAAAACAUUAAUAAGAAAUUUAGCUUGUUGCAAAAAUAAAAUAGCACCCCAAUUUGGAUGCGAAGAAAGAUAUUAUAAGAAAAGAAAAAGACAUAAGAAAUAUAAGAAAUAUAAAAAAUCAAAAUAUAAAUAUAAAAAACCAAGAAAAAGAUACUAUGUAAAAAAUUAUAAACAUAAAAGACCAUAUAGAAAAAAGAAAUCUAUAAAAGAAUGUACUUGUUAUAAUUGUGGAAAGUUAGGACAUUUAGCUAGAGAUUGUAAAUUACCUAAAAAUCCAAAAAAUAAACAAAUAUCAGAAAUAAAAAUAGAAAAUACCGAAUACAUGCAGAUAGAUUAUAUAGAUUAUGAAUUAGAAAGUGAAGAUAGUAUAUAUGAAAUUUCAGAAAAUGAAACAGAUAAUGAACUAGAUAGCGAAAUAGAUGAAUCAAAUGACUGAAGAAGAUAUAAAAAUAAUAACAAAGGAAGAAUAUUUAAAUGAUGAAGGAACGGAACAAAAAAUAAUAUUUGACAGUAAUAUAUUUGAUGAAAUAAAAGGAAAAGAAUUAGAUUUAAGUGUAGACAAAAUAUUUAAAAUACCAACAAUAAAAAAUAUUUUUACUAGGAAAAAAGAUGAAUAUUAUGUAGUAUGCCAAAAAGAACAUGUAAUAGAUUGCAGAUAUGCAAAAGGAAAAGCUAGUAUACCACUGGUAACAAAAAGAAUAAUUAAUAAAGAAAUAAAUGAUAUAAAAAGUAAAGGAGAUCCAAUAAAAUAUGUACACCUUGGAGGUACAGAGAUAUUAAUAAAAGCAUGUUUUAGAGAAGGAAUAGAUACACCAAUAGAAUUAUAUUUAGCAGACGAUAGAAUUAUAAAACCUAUAGAAAAAAGCAUAAUAACUGCCGUAAAAGGAAAUCUAAUAUACCAAAAAUUUAAAUUUAUAAUAAGUGCAAAUUAUUCAGUAGCAGUAACAGAUAGGAAUAUAGAUAAAUCAUUAGUAUUAUAUUGGAAAAUAUCAGGAAUAGAGUUAACCCCAGGAAGUAAAAUAUUUACAGCAAGAUGUAAAAAUCUAUAUGUAUUAACAACAAAACAUAAAAUAACAGGAAAAAAUAAGAUUAACAAAAUACAAAUAGAAAGCCCAUUCGAACAAAUAGUAAAAACAAUAGAUUAUAAUGAUUAUACCUAUAGAGACAUAGAUACAGAAGAAAAUUUAGAAAUAGUAAAUGAUAGAAUAAGUACAACGAAAAGAAUAGCUAAUGAAAAGCCAGAAUCAUCAAGCUCAUCAAAAAGAACAAGUUAUGAAAUAAAUUCAACAAAUAAUUUAAACUAAUAUUACAUAACAGGAAAGGUAAAUGAAAAAGAAUAUUUAAUACUCUUAAAUAUAGGACAAGAAGAAAAUUAUAUAGCAAAAUAUCUAGUAAAAAAUGAAGAAAUAAAAACUGAUAAUGAUAUAUGCCCAGACCUACCAAGAAGUUUAAUAAAUAGUGUACAAAAAGAAAUAAUAAUAGGAAUUAGAAAGAUAAAAAUAGAAUUUGAAGUAAAGGAAGAAAUGCAAAAAACAGACAUAAUAUUAGGAAUAAAAUAGCUAGAACAAGUAAAACCAUAUAAUAUAGAACAUACACAAUUAACCUUAACAUAUAACAGAGAGAAAUUAUUCUUAAGAAGAGCCUUAACAUAAAAUGAAAAUAUAUGUAUUAAUAAAAAUAGUAGUAGAAGGAUAUUACAGUAGAUAUUACACGCCUAUGAUAGAUACAGGAGCAGAAGCUAAUUUAUGUAGAUAUAAUUGCUUACUAGAAAGUAAAUGGGAUAAAUUAAAAACACCAAUAAUAGUUAAAGGAUUUAAUAAUGAAGGAAGCUUAAUUACUUAUAAAGCUAGGAAUGUAAAAAUACAAGUAUGGGAUAAGAUAUUAACAAUAGAAGAAAUUGUCUAUCUUAGAAUUUAUGAAACAAGUGUGAAUAUUAUUUGGAUCAUGAAAUUAAUAAAAUAGAGGAAGAGCAUUAUUUACUAAGAUUACAUUAGAAAGAAUGUUUAAAGAUAUUCUAAUCCUAAACAAAGCAAAAUCUGUUCAAGUGGCGGCAUGUUUUUAAUUAUACACGUGUUUUGCAUAUACAUAAUAAAAUAGAUUCAUAAUGCAUUCUUGAACUACAUUUAUAUCUUAUAUGUGUUAUUUUUUGGGUUAUAUAUCUGUGAAAUUGAGGUCUAUUUUUUGUCAGAUACAUUUUAUUUAGUUAUUUGAUACAUACCUGUGGUUAUGUAUCAAUAGAUUGACUGGUGAUACCAGGUAAGGCUUCACAGAUUAUGUCUACGAAGCUGGAAGAAGGUACAUUAUGGAUAUUGGGAGUAAAACAUGCAGUUGUGGAAGAUUUUAACUUGACGAGAUACUAUAUCCGCAUACUAUUACAGUUUUAAAGUGAAAAUACAUAAAAUAUAUGGGAUCGUACUUCUCUGAUUAUUAUAAGCCAACAAUACUGAUCAAGAUACAUGAAGUACCAAUGAUUUUGAUACUCGAUAUGAAGAAUUAACAUGUGCCUAAAGAAAUUGAAGAAGGGGUGAUCUUACCACCUAAAUACAAAAGACCAUCAAAAAGGCUAAAGAAAUGGAGGCACAAGAAAUUCAGUGAAACUCUCUCAUCAAACACAAAUUGUUGUAGACGAUGUGAUCAUGAAGAUCACAAUAGAUGCAAUUAUGAUUUCUUUUCAAAGAAAAAGUGAUAUAAAUAUUUUGCAUAAAUUUAGCAUGUUUUCACUAUCUUGAAUUCAUAAGAACUUGUUAUUUCUUACCAAUGUAGCGUUGUUGAACUAGAUUUGAUGUCAUGACAUUGAUAUUUUGUAUGACAAUUUGCAUUUUCAUUAUUCUGAUACUUAUCUUACAACAUUAGUCAAGAUAUAUAAGUUGAUUUUACUGACAUAUUUAUAUGUCUGAUACAUAACAAUGUUCUCAUUAUUUUUAUGAUACAUUGUUGAUUAUAGAAAUAUACUUGAUACAUUUCAUAUGAAAUAAAAUGGUUAUGAUACAUUGCUUUCACUAUGGUUCUACUAUGGGAAUUUAUUUACGGAUAUAAAUAGCUAUGAUAUAUUGAUUUUUUGAUAAGACUCAAAAUACAUUAUUGUAAAGUGUUGUACAUGAUAAACUUGCAAGUAAAGUAUCUAUGAAUAUAUAGUUAUGUUAUGAUAACCGUCAUGUCCACAAAAAAAUACAUAAAACUUAAAAAAUCAAGACAUGCCUUGAUUAACACCUACUAACACAAAUCCAAAUAUUGUCAAAGAAAAUCAAAAAGUAUUUUUCUAAGGUUAACUAACUAUGAUACAUUAGGUAGUAAGGAGGUCAGCUUUGACCUUGGUUGUAAUAAUAAAAAAAUUUGAUGAAAUACGUGUUUUGUAUGAUUUGAUUAUUCUACCUCUCCUCGUAGUUGCAUUGUGGUAUUUAUGGAGUUUGGGAGGUAAUUCGUACGAUUUCUGAUGUAUUUUGGUGUCAUUUAUACGAUAUUAUGGAUUUUAGAGACUACGAGAGUUAUCAUUUGAUUCGUGUGAUGGAUGGUUGAAUGGACUGCACCAGCAGAUCUGGAACAUCAACUUUAGGGUGAUAACAUAUUUGAACUGGUUUUACGAUUUUUAAAUCUCAUUUCAUCCCUCGAUUUGAAAAAUUAUAAUUUCAGAUUUUGGGGGUCAACUUUGGGAAAAUGAUUUUUUUUAAAAAAAUUGAUAUCUCCAUUGAGUCCAGAGCAUCGAAUUCAAUAUGGUUACAUUGUUCGUUUGUGUGUAUCGGAUUCUGAAUAACUCCCAAGGCCUUGGCAGAAACUUGGAGAGUUUUCAAGUUCCAACUGAUAUCUGUUAGGCCUGCGAUCGCACCUUCUUGAAUGGAGAUUGUAUCUCUGUGUGCAUAGAAGGUAGUGUGAUCGCGCUAAGCCUUGUGUCAAUCGUCGCAUCUACUUCUGAUGCCAGAUAGUGCAAUUGCACACUGGCUUGUUGUGAUUGUAGCAUCUGUAAACCUAAAAGGGGUAUAAAUAAACCCUUUAGGUCGCGAAUUAGCUUAUUAUUCAUCUUGCCUCUUGAGAGAUAAACCCUAAAAUAAUGUGAGAGCUUAAAAGUGAAGCUUGUGUGUCCUUGGCAAGCUAGAUUAACAUGCAUUUCUUGAUUCUCUUAUGGAUUUAAGGUAAGAAUUCACCCUUUUCUUGGUUGAAUUUCUUGAUUAAUUGCUCAAAACCUCAAAAACCUUAGGGAUUGAUUUUAAACCCCAAUUUCACUCUUGUUCACCUGAAUAAUGUUCUUAAUCCUAUAAUUACUAGUUUUCCCUCAAUUUAACCUUCAAAACAACUCCCAUUCUUGAUUUAAAAACGGAUUUCAAAGGUUUUACCGAUAAAGUUUAAAAAUGAAUUUUCUUCGAUUUAGAACUUGUUUUAACUCGUUUUGACUUGAGUUUUUAGAUGUAGAUUUCUAAAGGUAUGAAAAACACAUUUUUAAAAUAAAGUUACGAUUUUGCCCUUCUUUUUUUAAAAAUUUAUUUCGGGGUUCCAUUUGAACCUCGAACCAAAAGUAGGAAAUAUGAGUAUCGUUGGCUUUGUUUUAAUGAGAAAAUUUUAUAUUUCUUGGUUUUAGUUGAUUUUGAGAUCAUUCAUGAUAAGCAAAGUCAUAGGUCAAAGUGUUGUGGACCAGUUUUUAGCCUUGAGGUAGGUUAUGGCUUAACUCUUUAGACUGGAAUGAGUGGUUAAUUUAUAUACAAAAUACAUGUUAAGGAGAUGGAAAAUAAUUAGGAAUUUAUCUAUCUUAAUGUGUUGUGCCUGUGUGGUGGGCUAUAUGUGAUAUAAUUGUUGGUUUGAGAUAUUAUGUGAUAUGUGUGACCGUGUGGGGUCCUAUGUGAUGUUGAUAGCCUUAAAUACAUGUGAAAAAAUUAUAUUGUGUUGUUGAAAUACCUAUUGUGGUACCAUUGGUGUAUUGUGAUAUAUUUAUACCUUGUUGGCAUAUAAAUCAUGUGGAAUUUCAUAGAAGAUGAAAAUAAUGAAUGGAUAUUGGCUUAUGUGGUUGUGGAAAUGUAUCAUUGGAAUUGGUUGUGAAAAUAUAUCAUUGUAGUUGGUUGUAGAAAAUACUUAUUGUGUUUGGCUGUGAGUAUUAUAUCCUUACAUCAUACUCAUUCAUGAAACAUUGGUACUACCGUGACAACAUCUGAGAAAUACAGACAACACCUUUUUAUGACAGAAAAUAUGACAUCUUAUAAAACACUCCCCAAGGUAUAUGUCAGGGAGGAGAUAUGGAUAUAUGUAUUAUAUAAGGGUUGACUAACCUUCCAUGGGUCCUACGCUGGGAGGCUUUACUCCGUAUGUGUAUAUGGGGAUUAUGCGACAAUCUCAGUGGUUGUACGACGACCUCCUACAUCAUCAUCAUCAUCAUCAUCUUAAACAUUCCACUUACUUUAUUGUGUUAUGUUGUAAGUGAAUGGCCAUAUUGACUUGUCUUAUAUCUAUUUGUUCUAUCUACUAUUAUUUGUAUUUGACAAUCUUGUAUAUACAUAUUCUUUCUUGUUUCUACUUGUAUGUGAUAUGAUGUAUGCUUAUGUUCUACCUUGUUGUGUUGUUACAAUAUAUGUGAUAAAUAUAUAUAUGAAAUGUUAGUGCAAGCGGUAUUGGCUACCAUUGUGGGACCUUUGCUAAUUACAGGUGAUAUGCCCUUUAUGCGUAUUUUGUAUGCUUUAUUAUCUACUUUACUCGAUCGGCCUAUGAUACCUAUUGAGUACAAGCGGAUCAUACUCACGCCUAUUGUGCCUUUUAGGUACAGAAUCUAGCCCGAGUGUGCCCCAUCUUGAUUGAUUUGGG